rnacentral:rRNA from 1 species
GAUGAACGCUGGCGGCGUGCCUAAUACAUGCAAGUAGAACGCUGAAGGAAGGAGCUUGCUCUUUCCGGAUGAGUUGCGAACGGGUGAGUAACGCGUAGGUAACCUGCCUGGUAGCGGGGGAUAACUAUUGGAAACGAUAGCUAAUACCGCAUAACAGUAGGUGUUGCAUGACAACUAUUUGAAAGGGGCAAUUGCUCCACUACCAGAUGGACCUGCGUUGUAUUAGCUAGUUGGUGAGGUAACGGCUCACCAAGGCGACGAUACAUAGCCGACCUGAGAGGGUGAUCGGCCACACUGGGACUGAGACACGGCCCAGACUCCUACGGGAGGCAGCAGUAGGGAAUCUUCGGCAAUGGACGGAAGUCUGACCGAGCAACGCCGCGUGAGUGAAGAAGGUUUUCGGAUCGUAAAGCUCUGUUGUAAGAGAAGAACGAGUGUGAGAGUGGAAAGUUCACACUGUGACGGUAUCUUACCAGAAAGGGACGGCUAACUACGUG